UGCAACCUCCUUUGCAGUUCAACCACUGCAAAGUCACAGAGUAUUGUGCUAUUGUGUUUUAUUGUUGGACUGUAGAUAAAAGCAGGGUUUCCCCAACAUACGAUUUGAAACACCCAACUGGGUUGCAGGAAGGCCUCAAGUGAUAACAGGCAGAAGAAAAUAAAAACAACUUUCAGGUCUCAAUACUGCUAAUCCCAAAGAUUCACAAAAAUCAAGAGCCAGCCCCCCAUGAUAUUGGCUUUAAAAAAAUACAUUUUAGAUUCUUCUGCGAUUUGAGCCUUUAAGAUUCUAAUUUUUAAGCUUUUCUCCACAACCAUAAGAGCCAGGACCUUUUUUUUUUUUUUUUUGGCAAUCAAAGCUGAGAGUUCACUCUAGGGACUGGGGCUUCCAGAAAAACAUGAAGUGUGCCACGACUCAGGAUAAAAUUGCUAGAGGUGGUAGCUCAGAAUCUGAGUUCUAUGCUAGCUCCUUCCAAAUUAGCUUCCUACCUUCUACUAGAGACUUCUCUUCUCCAGGAUCUAGAACUCUUUUUUUCCUGCAGGCUUCCUCUAUAGGCCACACCUCCAGCAGAGAACAGCUAGGCUCAGUAGAGAAAGGGCCAAGCUAGCUAGAAAAGGAUUGAAUCUGCCUGCUCUACAGAACGUGUGAGGAAGUGAGCCCAGGUCUUCCUGCUUACAUUGUGACUUUGAAUGGGGGAUGGGAGGAAAUGGCUGAAUUGCCAAUUGAACUGGAAUAAAAUGGAAUAAAAAAGAGAAGGAAACGUCCUACAAAAGAAGUUGCAAGGUCAAAAUUGCAGUGCUAAAUGUGCCUUUCCCCAAGGCUUUCAUAGCAUCCCAUUACCAGGCUGCUUCUCCAGUCUCUCUGCAGUUUCCUUUAUGUCCUCUGGAGCAUCCCAAGAAAAUUGCACCGGGGAUGGGUAGGAAGAGGUUGAGUCAGCACCAUGGGACUGCCUAGGCUGCAAGGAUGAAAUUUUACCCUGUGCAGAGGACCAGCGCAAGGCUCUCCACCACCAAAGUCAUGGAGUGAAAUCUUGGCCCCAGGGAGUCAAUGGGGCCAGCAUUGCAGCCCUGGACUUCAGUGAGACUUAAGUGGCGUACAGGGCUUGUACCUCUGUACAGGAAUUUGUUUCAUCCCAAAUGUGAAGCAUUCAAGGGGGCGUGGGGGGGCAGGAGAUUGGGAGGAAUCGUACCUCUUUCAUUAACCCUAUCCAAAUAGCAAGCACUCAAAAGGCCUGGUUGUGUCUGCAAAACUAGGCUGGAAAGCCAGUGGGAAUAAGUUCUCCUAUGAGAUGCCUAUUACUUUCUGGGCUGGAUUCUCAGCUGGUGUAAAUGGCUGUAGCUCCAUUAAAGUCGCAACUGAGGGUUUGCCUCCUUGUUUCUAGUCAUUGUUUUUAUUGUGUACAAGGUGUUAAAAUUAUGUAUUUCCUUAGAUUUUAAUGUAAAAAUAGAGUAUAUGUAGUGUGUGUACAUCUGAGGGGAGAGUUUCCAUGAUCUUAUUACAGAAUUCACUUACAGUGAUAUUAUGGAACUACUGGGUUUUUUGGUUGUUUUGGUUUUUUUUAGUCCACUGUAAAUUCUUCCGUGGUAAUCAUUGCUGGUAAAGCCAGUAUCAGGACCUCAUCCACCUGAUCUGCCAAUAGUGGACUUCUAGCCUAUAUUGAUGUAUGCACUAGAAAAUUGAUUGCCUGCCUUUGUAGAUAAGAACAUGUAUUGUUCUUCCAGUGGGUUAGUGCAUUACUCUUUUCUGGCUAAUGUGAUCUCAGAAUCCUUCUCAAUAACACAAUUUCACCAAUCAAACCAGAUGACAAAAUAUAAAUUAUAUGGAGUUGUAG